AUAAAAAAGAAGAAAAAAAAAAACUCUCUUAAUAUUUGUCCUGGUUCACGGCACACAAAAAAAUUCAUCAUAAUAUCUAAAAAAAGAAGAACAUUUAUUAUUCAUGAGCAAUCUUAAAGACUUAACUAAGUAUUCCACUUCAGCUAAGAACUCAGUGAGCCUGAGUAGCUUUACACCUCUGCUUAUGCAAAUACAACAGAGCCUGAUUAAAAGUACGUGACGUACCAAUGACGUCAGACACUGUUGGAUUUGCGUCUCGAGCUUUCAUAGAGGAUGAACAAUUGACGUUAUUUUCCGUAAAACUCGUUUAUUUUGUUGUAAUAAAAACUUAGUGGCAGAACGACGGCAACACGUGAGGUGAAGCCUCGAAAGUCAAAAAUUGUCAAGUGAUGGGAGUAUGGAGGCUGGUGUGGAUUCUGUGUUUCAUGAUCACUAUGAUCCCGGUUUCUCUUCAUGGAAGAAUAUCUGUAAACUUUAAAACUGGGCAGCCCCUCUAUGUGGCGCUGAGAAAAACCCUGGUUUUGGAGGCCGUAUUUCAGAAGAACCCAGAAGAUAAGAUAGACAUGGUGACGUGGGACCGCGAGAGAGGACAGGACAAUGUCAGAAUAUCAGGGACAGCCCAUGACCAAAGGAUAUCUUUGGAGAAGGAUGAUGCACUUCUGCGGAUCACAAAUAUUUCAGAACGCGAUUUUGGUGUCUAUAAGGUUACAGUCACAGACAGUAAUGGAGAACAACAGCAUGACUCAAUUGAAGUGCGCAUGAUGGAGGAACCUCCAAAGGCGUCCAUUGCACAUGUGUUAGAGUGUGUUGUGGAUACAAAUGACAUGGUGCAGUGGGAUACCCCUCAGUUCUCAUGGUUUGUGGAUGACGUUGCAGUAACCAGUCAAACCGCCCUGUUAGCAGAUGGCAGGAGACUCAACAUCGCAGAGAUCAAAGGAGAGAACUACACCUGCGUCAUCCACAGCAGUCUUGGAAAAGUGACAACACAUUUUGAAACAUCUAAAGAAACUCCUCCCAACUCUUUGCCCUGUUUUAAGGGACUGAUUGUGACUGGAGUUGCAUUAGCAGCACUUUUUGUAACUUGUGUAAUUAUGUUGAAGAGAAGCAGAAAUCAGCCUUUGUAGGUGCCUACAGAUGUGAGGGAGUUGGCUGGGCCUAAUUGAGUCCUCAUGUUACACUAAGAUUUUAUUUCAUUUUUAUUUAUUAUUUUAUUUUCACUUGUAAACCUGUAAACGUUAACAUUUUAUGAGAACGAGCAUAAGUUAUCUUGUUAAAAAAAUGUAUAUGUUUUGUGAAAGAAAAUAUUAUGUUGUCUACCUCAGUUGUUCUUCUGUCACCCGGAUCAUAUGCAGACACUGGUGUUCAAGUUUCUAAAGAGAAUAAAAGUUUAAAAACUAAACUAAUAUUGAGAGUGUGAUUCUCACCACAAUGGGUGGUGAUGGAGAGGGACAAUCAUUUAUGGUGCAACCUGGAAAUAUUAGGAAAUUUAAGGGUUAGCCCUAAAACAUUUAAUCAGCUAAAAUUGCACUUUGAGCAAUCUAAUAAAUGAUUUUCAUCCCUGUUUUUUUUAAUUGUUUGUUUUGGGGAUGUUUUAUGUAUUAUAAAAAUAGUAAUGAUAUUUACGUAAACAUUAAUUUUCCAUCUACACUAGUUUAAUACAAUCCUCUGGCAGAAGCAAAACCCAGGUGGCAGAUAUUAUAGAGGAAUUAACCCUUGGUUGUAUCACAAAAUAGAUUAGGAAAAGUCAUGAAGUAUUAACCUGGGCUCUGUUGCAACAAACGCCUUAAAGCUGGUGUGUGUUAAAAUGUUUACUUGUAUUCUAGUUUGAUAAGUAAGACAUUUCUAAUUCGAUUUCACUUAAAAAUGUAACACAUUGGAUCUGUGGCACUAUAAAAGCAUUCCUCUCAUCAUUCAAAAUCAUUCCUAGAGGUAUGAUCACUAGGGAUUUUCUUAACUUAAGGGGUUUGUUGCAACUGGCUGCUGCCUACAUUUUAAGGGGUGUUCACACAGGAUGUGUUCUUGCAUUCAAAGCAGCUAGACUGAAUGGAACCGAAAGCAGGGGUUUCCUGACAAGUUGAGCUCCUUUUAAAGCUAAAUGUGAUGCUCUAAUUGCCUAAGAAAAAUGGCAAGAUGUGUCACAAUAGUCAAAGACAUUUGUCUGGCACAUGUUUACAUAGAUACACAAGAAGGAAAAAAAAGAGCUUAUUUUGUGUGAAUGAACCCUAAGUAUGUUUUUUGAGCUAUUAAAAUGGCCUUUGUAUCUCAGAGUAGUUUGCUGCCUGUAAAAUGCCAACAAACACCAAAUUCCAACGUGUUAACUCUUUUGACUUGUGAAAUAACAGUUGUGUUCACCAACAUUAUGUUUGCUGAGGCAGAGUGAACCUUCAGACCCAAACAAAACAUUAUAUAUAUAUAUAUAUAUUAUCCCAUAAUCAUAAACAAAUGGAAAAGUCAUGGAAUUUCAUUGGUGAAAAGGUGUGGGAGGGUUUUAGCACAGAAAGAUCUGCUCAAGGACAGAGAGAAUGGUGGCUUUCCAGCAGAGGAAAUGGAAAGAGGAAAUUGGCCCACUUGAAAACAAGGUGACGCCUAAAGACUUCUCACUUUGUGAACCCGACGCACUGAGCAAAAAAGGGAACACAACUGGAGUACGUUUUCUGUUGGAGCUUUGGUCUAGUUUAAUUUAUUUUCUGGACAUAAGCGUCUUUUUAAGGAAGUUGUGAGUGUCUUGCAGCUUGUCUUCUUCAUGCAGGUGACAUGGAACUGCAAAUAGCGCAUUUUAUUCGGACUGUCCUACUUUUACAAAUCUGCUUGGCAGUAAAUCAUGUAUCAGUGAUGGUGAAUGUGUCUCACUGCAUUCUGCACUGUAUGGAGGCGUGGGGCACUGAGCCCACCUUCACCUGGCUGCACGAGCAAGCGGCUGUGACGGAGGAAGUGGGUCG